AGUGAGUCUCUCUAAUGCCUGUUGGGGGUGGAAGGCUUUGGCUGAUGAUUCGGCAUUCGCUUGGUUGGUGAGGUAAUGCUCACCAAGCGACGACGGGUAGCCGUCUUGAGAGGGUAUCGGACCACUGGACUGAGACCCGGCCCAGACUCCUACGGAGGCAGGCAGUGGGGAAUAUUGCACAUGGGCGGCAAGCUGAUGCAGCGACGCCGCGUGAGGGAUGACGGCCUUCGGUUGUAAACCUCUUUCAGUAGGGAAGAAGCGAAAGUGACGGUACCUGCAGAAGAAGCGCCGGCUAACUACGUGCCAGCAGCCGCGGUAAUACGUAGGGCGCAAGCGUUAUCCGGAAUUAUUGGGCGUAAAGAGCUCGUAGGCGGUUUGUCGCGUCUGCCGUGAAAGUCCGGGGCUCAACUCCGGAUCUGCGGUGGGUACGGGCAGACUAGAGUGAUGUAGGGGAGACUGGAAUUCCUGGUGUAGCGGUGAAAUGCGCAGAUAUCAGGAGGAACACCGAUGGCGAAGGCAGGUCUCUGGGCAUUAACUGACGCUGAGGAGCGAAAGCAUGGGGAGCGAACAGGAUUAGAUACCCUGGUAGUCCAUGCCGUAAACGUUGGGCACUAGGUGUGGGGGACAUUCCACGUUUUCCGCGCCGUAGCUAACGCAUUAAGUGCCCCGCCUGGGGAGUACGGCCGCAAGGCUAAAACUCAAAGGAAUUGACGGGGGCCCGCACAAGCGGCGGAGCAUGCGGAUUAAUUCGAUGCAACGCGAAGAACCUUACCAAGGCUUGACAUGGGCCGGACCGGGCUGGAAACAGUCCUUCCCCUUUGGGGCCGGUUCACAGGUGGUGCAUGGUUGUCGUCAGCUCGUGUCGUGAGAUGUUGGGUUAAGUCCCGCAACGAGCGCAACCCUCGUUCCAUGUUGCCAGCGCGUAAUGGCGGGGACUCAUGGGAGACUGCCGGGGUCAACUCGGAGGAAGGUGGGGACGACGUCAAAUCAUCAUGCCCCUUAUGUCUUGGGCUUCACGCAUGCUACAAUGGCCGGUACAAAGGGUUGCGAUACUGUGAGGUGGAGCUAAUCCCAAAAAGCCGGUCUCAGUUCGGAUUGGGGUCUGCAACUCGACCCCAUGAAGUCGGAGUCGCUAGUAAUCGCAGAUCAGCAACGCUGCGGUGAAUACGUUCCCGGGCCUUGUACACACCGCCCGUCAAGUCACGAAAGUUGGUAACACCCGAAGCCGGUGGCCUAACCCCUUGUGGGAGGGAGCUGUCGAAGGUGGAC
rnacentral:rRNA from 1 species